rnacentral:rRNA from 1 species
AGCGAACGCUGGCGGCAGGCCUAACACAUGCAAGUCGAACGAACCUUUCGGGGUUAGUGGCGGACGGGUGAGUAACACGUGGGAACGUGCCUUUAGGUUCGGAAUAACUCAUUGAAACUUGUGCUAAUACCGAAUGUGCCCUUCGGGGGAAAGAUUAAUCGCCGUUAGAGCGGCCCGCGUCUGAUUAGCUAGUUGGUUGAGGUAAUGGCUCACCAAGGCGACGAUCAGUAGCUGGUCUGAGAGGAUGAUCAGCCACAUUGGGACUGAGACACGGCCCAAACUCCUACGGGAGGCAGCAGUGGGGAAUCUUGCGCAAUGGGCGAAAGCCUGACGCAGCCAUGCCGGGUGAAUGAUGAAGGUCUUAGGAUUGUAAAAUUCUUUCACCGGGGACGAUAAUGACGGUACCCGGAGAAGAAGCCCCGGCUAACUUCGUG